GCUAUCUCGAGUACCCAAGAUUCCAGGAUAACCUGCGUGGAACACAAAAUUGCAAACAUGCAAAAACAACAAACAGCCGUCACUAAUAAAGUUGAGGCUAUGGAAGACCAGAAGAGGUGAUAUAACCUGAAAAUCCGUGGUAUCCCAGACAAAGUGGGCCUGCCUGACUUGCCCCAUUAUAUUUGAAGGCUGUUCAGGACACUGUUGCAGG